AUUGAACGCUGGCGGCAGGCCUAACACAUGCAAGUCGAGCGGAUGAAGGGAGCUUGCUCCUGGAUUCAGCGGCGGACGGGUGAGUAAUGCCUAGGAAUCUGCCUGGUAGUGGGGGAUAACGUCCGGAAACGGGCGCUAAUACCGCAUACGUCCUGAGGGAGAAAGUGGGGGAUCUUCGGACCUCACGCUCUCAGAUGAGCCUAGGUCGGAUUAGCUAGUUGGUGGGGUAAAGGCCUACCAAGGCGACGAUCCGUAACUGGUCUGAGAGGAUGAUUAGUCACACUGGAACUGAGACACGGUCCAGACUCCUACGGGAGGCAGCAGUGGGGAAUAUUGGACAAUGGGCGAAAGCCUGAUCCAGCCAUGCCGCGUGUGUGAAGAAGGUCUUCGGAUUGUAAAGCACUUUAAGUUGGGAGGAAGGGCAGGAAGUUAAUACCUUGCUGUUUUGACGGUACCAACAGAAUAAGCACCGGCUAACUUCGUG
rnacentral:rRNA from 1 species